rnacentral:rRNA from 1 species
GACGGACGCUGGCGGCGUGCUUAACACAUGCAAGUCGAACGGAAAGGCCCUGCUUUUGUGGGGUGCUCGAGUGGCGAACGGGUGAGUAACACGUGAGUAACCUGCCCUUGACUUUGGGAUAACUUCAGGAAACUGGGGCUAAUACCGGAUAGGAGCUCCUGCUGCAUGGUGGGGGUUGGAAAGUUUCGGCGGUUGGGGAUGGACUCGCGGCUUAUCAGCUUGUUGGUGGGGUAGUGGCUUACCAAGGCUUUGACGGGUAGCCGGCCUGAGAGGGUGACCGGCCACAUUGGGACUGAGGUACGGCCCAGACUCCUACGGGAGGCAGCAGUGGGGAAUAUUACACAAUGGGCGGAAGCCUGAUGCAGCAACGCCGCGUGCGGGAUGACGGCCUUCGGGUUGUAAACCGCUUUCGCCUGUGACGAAGCGUGAGUGACGGUAAUGGGUAAAGAAGCACCGGCUAACUACGUG